rnacentral:rRNA from 1 species
AGAGAGAGACAUGCGCGCAUAUCAAUAAGCGGAGGAAAAGAAACUAACAAGGAUUCCCCUAGUAACGGCGAGUGAAGCGGGAAGAGCUCAAAUUUGAAAUCUUAAAGGGUUUCCCUUUACGAAUUGUAGUUUAAAGAAGUGUUUUCUGUUGAGGUUUCGGUAAAAGUUCUUUGGAAUAGGACAUCAUAGAGGGUGAGAAUCCCGUAUUUGACCUUUACUUUCAACUGUGUGAUACACUUUCAAAGAGUCGGAUUGUUUGGGGAUGCAGUCCAAAAUGGGUGGUAAAUUUCAUCUAAAGCUAAAUAUUGGCGAGAGACCGAUAGCGAACAAGUACCGUGAGGGAAAGAUGAAAAGAACUUUGAAAAGAGAGUUAAACAGUACGUGAAAUUGUCAAAAGGGAAGCGUUUGACACCAGUGUUGUUUUUCUGAAAAUCAAUUAAAGAACUGUUUAUGCUAAGUUGUUUAGACUUUAUCAGCUAACUGUUUAGUUUUGAGCUUUUCUUUAAUGCACUUUUCAGUUAACAAGUCAACAUCAAUUUCUUUUGCUGUAAAAAAGCUUGAGGAAGGUGGCUUGAGAUUCGUCUUAAGUGUUUAUAGCCUCUUGCCUAUGCAGUCGGAGAGAUUGAGGUCUGCAGCGUAGAUCCUUCGGGGCUAAAUGCAUUUGUGCUAAGUUAUAGCAUUUUAUAGACAACUUGUUGACUAUGAUUUGUCUUGUAGCUUACUCGCUUAUGUUAUUUUACCUACGCUUAGGAUGUUGAGCGCAUGUCUCUCUCU